ACUUUAUGUCCUCUAAAGAGCCGUUCGAGACUAGGACGUUGAUAGGUUGGAUGUGGAAGCAUAGUGAUAUGUGAAGCUGACCAAUACUAAUUGCUCGUGAGGCUUGACUAUACAACACCCA
rnacentral:rRNA from 1 species